AAAGGCCAGCGCAGAGCGCUGGCGAAUGGGAGGCGAGGAAGGCUUGGGCUAAGGAUGGAUUGAAACCGGGCUGCCUGUCCGUGCUGGAGAGUGGGAGAAGGGUCCCUGCUGGCUGCCGUGUCCUGGGUGGGCACAGAGCUCUGACCUUGGCCAGAUGGGCUGGUUUCCGGGUGU